AGCCCUUGACAUGGUCGGACGGUUUCCAGAGAUGGAUUCCUUCACUUCGGUGACUGACACACAGGUGCUGCAUGGCUGUCGUCAGCUCGUGUCGUGAGAUGUUGGGUUAAGUCCCGCAACGAGCGCAACCCUCGCCUUUAGUUGCCAUCAUUUAGUUGGGCACUCUAGAGGGACUGCCGGUGAUAAGCCGGAGGAAGGUGGGGAUGACGUCAAGUCUUCAUGGCCCUUACGGG
rnacentral:rRNA from 1 species